AUGUCAACACAUUCAAAUCACCCCUACCAUUUAGUAGAUUAUAGCCCAUGACCCCUAACUGGAGCUAUUGGAGCAAUAAUAUUAGUUUCUGGUUUAGUUAUAUGAUUCCAUCAAUAUAAUAUAACUUUAUUAAUUUUAGGUGUUACCAUUACUUUAAUAACAAUAUAUCAAUGAUGACGAGAUAUCUCCCGAGAAGGAACCUUUCAAGGGCUUCACUCUCUUCCUGUAACUUUAGGCCUCCGAUGAGGAAUAAUUUUAUUUAUUAUUUCAGAAGUAUUUUUUUUUGUAUCUUUUUUUUGAGCAUUUUUUCAUAGUAGUUUAUCUCCAGCUAUUGAAUUAGGGGCUCAAUGACCUCCUACAGGAAUUUUACCAUUCAAUCCUUUCCAAAUUCCUCUAUUAAAUACUGCUAUUUUAUUAGCCUCUGGAGUCACAGUUACUUGAGCUCAUCAUAGAUUAAUUGAAAAAAAUCAUUCUCAAGCCUCUCAGGGCCUCUUUUUUACUAUUAUUCUAGGAAUUUAUUUUACUAUCUUGCAAGCAUAUGAAUAUAUUGAAGCAUCAUUUACAAUUGCUGAUAAUGUAUAUGGUUCGACCUUUUUUGUAGCCACUGGCUUUCAUGGUCUUCAUGUAUUAAUUGGAACAACUUUUUUAAUUAUUUGUUUAAUUCGUCACCUUCAAAAUCAUUAUUCUAGCACACACCAUUUUGGAUUUGAAGCUGCUGCAUGAUACUGACAUUUUGUAGAUAUUGUUUGAUUAUUUUUAUAUGUUUCAAUUUAUUGAUGAGGUAAUUAA